rnacentral:lncRNA from 1 species
CAAUUGCCUCCACUUCUCGCACAAUACGCAAGUGACUCCUAUUUCUUGUACUUCUAAAAGCCAUACGCUCAAGCAAGUGUGUUGUCCCAAAUGAGAUUGGUGACUCAUAAAUUGAACCACAACCAACAUAUAACGAUAUUGAGGCUACAGGACUCUGGUAAGGAAACAGAACAAAAUAACCACUUUUUUCAUUAAAAAUUUAAAAAAUAAAGAAAAACAAUUUUCCCAAAAUCAAGAGACCUUAGGCAUACACAUACAUACCACUGAUGUUUCCGAGGCAAUUUUGACACCAUUUGGUAGAGUAGAAAUCUUGGUUUUACCAGGUUCAACAUAAUCAGGCAAUGAAGGUGGAAGAGAGACACCCGGAAGUGGAAAGUCCAGAGAAGGUGAAGAACUGGACCGUUCCCCAGUCAACCAGCUAAAGAGACCACCCGAAGAGGAUGAAGUUGAAGCAACGGCACUGGAACUUGCAAAUCUUGUGGCUG